rnacentral:rRNA from 1 species
GUACGGUCGCAAGAUUGAAACUCAAAGGAAUUGACGGGGGCCCGCACAAGCGGAGGAACAUGUGGUCUAAUUCGAUGAUACGCGAGGAACCUUACCUGGGGCUUAAAUGCAGAGCGACGUCCGCCGAAAGGUGGAUUCCUUCGGGCGAUCUGCAAGGUGCUGCAUGGUUGUCGUCAGCUCGUGCCGUGAGGUGUCGGGUUAAGUCCCAUAACGAGCGCAACCCUUAUCGUUAGUUGCCAGCGGGUAAUGCCGGGGACUCUAACGAAACUGCCGGUGUAAACCGUGAGGAAGGUGGGGAUGACGUCAAAUCAGCACGGCCCUUAUGUCCAGGGCUACACACGUGUUACAAUGGUCGGUACAGAGGGCAGCUACCACGCAAGUGGAUGCUAAUCUCGAAAACCGGUCUCAGUUCGGAUUGAAGUCUGCAACUCGACUUCAUGAAGCUGGAUUCGCUAGUAAUCGCGCAUCAGCCAUGGCUCGGUGAUACGUUCCCGGGCAUUGUACACACCGCCCGUCAAGCCAUGGAAGCUUGGGGUACCUGAAGUCCGUACGCGCAAGGAGCGUCCUAGGGUAAGACAA